rnacentral:rRNA from 1 species
UUCCAGACUCCUACGGGAGGCAGCAGUGGGGAAUAUUGCACAAUGGGCGCAAGCCUGAUGCAGCCAUGCCGCGUGUAUGAAGAAGGCCUUCGGGUUGUAAAGUACUUUCAGCGGGGAGGAAGGUGUUGAGGUUAAUAACCUCAGCAAUUGACGUUACCCGCAGAAGAAGCACCGGCUAACUCCGUGCCAGCAGCCGCGGUAAUACGGAGGAUGCGAGCGUUAUCCGGAUUUAUUGGGUUUAAAGGGUGCGCAGGCGCCCCGGCAGGCCGGCGGGCAAAUCGUGGGGCUCAACCCCGCCCAGCCGUCGGAACUGCCGGGCUAGAGUGGGCGAGAAGUGCGCGGAAUGCGUGGUGUAGCGGUGAAAUGCAUAGAUAUCACGCAGAACUCCGAUUGCGAAGGCAGCGCACCGGCGCCCUACUGACGCUCAGGCACGAAAGCGUGGGUAUCGAACAGGAUUAGAUACCCGCGUAC